rnacentral:rRNA from 1 species
GGGUGAGUAAUGUCUGGGAAACUGCCCGAUGGAGGGGGAUAACUACUGGAAACGGUAGCUAAUACCGCAUAACGUCGCAAGACCAAAGAGGGGGACCUUCGGGCCUCUUGCCAUCGGAUGUGCCCAGAUGGGAUUAGCUAGUAGGUGGGGUAACGGCUCACCUAGGCGACGAUCCCUAGCUGGUCUGAGAGGAUGACCAGCCACACUGGAACUGAGACACGGUCCAGACUCCUACGGGAGGCAGCAGUGGGGAAUAUUGCACAAUGGGCGCAAGCCUGAUGCAGCCAUGCCGCGUGUAUGAAGAAGGCCUUCGGGUUGUAAAGUACUUUCAGCGAGGAGGAAGGUGUUGUGGUUAAUAACCACAGCGAUUGACGUUACUCGCAGAAGAAGCACCGGCUAACUCCGUGCCAGCAGCCGCGGUAAUACGGAGGGUGCAAGCGUUAAUCGGAAUUACUGGGCGUAAAGCGCACGCAGGCGGUCUGUCAAGUCGGAUGUGAAAUCCCCGGGCUCAACCUGGGAACUGCAUCCGAAACUGGCAGGCUAGAGUCUUGUAGAGGGGGGUAGAAUUCCAGG